rnacentral:rRNA from 1 species
GUACCUGACUAAGAAGCCCCGGCUAACUACGUGCCAGCAGCCGCGGUAAUACGUAGGGGGCAAGCGUUAUCCGGAUUUAUUGGGUUUAAAGGGUGCGUAGGCGGCCUUUUAAGUCAGCGGUGAAAGUCUGUGGCUCAACCAUAGAAUUGCCGUUGAAACUGGGGGGCUUGAGUAUGUUUGAGGCAGGCGGAAUGCGUGGUGUAGCGGUGAAAUGCAUAGAUAUCACGCAGAACCCCGAUUGCGAAGGCAGCCUGCCAAGCCAUGACUGACGCUGAUGCACGAAAGCGUGGGGAUCAAACAGGAUUAGAUACCCUGGUAGUCCACGCAGUAAACGAUGAUCACUAGCUGUUUGCGAUACACUGUAAGCGGCACAGCGAAAGCGUUAAGUGAUCCACCUGGGGAGUACGCCGGCAACGGUGAAACUCAAAGGAAUUGACGGGGGCCCGCACAAGCGGAGGAACAUGUGGUUUAAUUCGAUGAUACGCGAGGAACCUUACCCGGGUUUGAACGCAUUCGGACCGAGGUGGAAACACCUUUUCUAGCAAUAGCCGUUUGCGAGGUGCUGCAUGGUUGUCGUCAGCUCGUGCCGUGAGGUGUCGGCUUAAGUGCCAUAACGAGCGCAACCCUUGCCACUAGUUACUAACAGGUAAAGCUGAGGACUCUGGUGGGACUGCCAGCGUAAGCUGCGAGGAAGGCGGGGAUGACGUCAAAUCAGCACGGCCCUUACAUCCGGGGCGACACACGUGUUACAAUGGCGUGGACAAAGGGAGGCCACCUGGCGACAGGGAGCGAAUCCCCAAACCACGUCUCAGUUCGGAUAGGAGUCUGCAACCUGACUCCGUGAAGCUG